AACGAACGCUGGCGGCAUGCCUAACACAUGCAAGUCGAACGAGAUCUUCGGGUCUAGUGGCGCACGGGUGCGUAACGCGUGGGAAUCUGCCCUUUAGUUCGGAAUAACAGUUGGAAACGACUGCUAAUACCGGAUGAUGACGAAAGUCCAAAGAUUUAUCGCCAGAGGAUGAGCCCGCGUAGGAUUAGCUAGUUGGUGUGGUAAAGGCGCACCAAGGCGACGAUCCUUAGCUGGUCUGAGAGGAUGAUCAGCCACACUGGGACUGAGACACGGCCCAGACUCCUACGGGAGGCAGCAGUGGGGAAUAUUGGACAAUGGGCGAAAGCCUGAUCCAGCAAUGCCGCGUGAGUGAUGAAGGCCUUAGGGUUGUAAAGCUCUUUUACCCGGGAUGAUAAUGACAGUACCGGGAGAAUAAGCUUCGGCUAACUCCGUGCCAGCCGCCGCAGUAA
rnacentral:rRNA from 1 species